UUUUCAUGUGAAUGCUGCACCGUUGCCUAUAAACCUUCGCAGGUCCUACCAUGCCAUUGACGUCAUCGAAAUUGUCAGCGUUCUAAUACUAACAAACACAAUUUUUGCUUUGCUUAAAAAAAAGUUAUAUUGAUUUAUUU